UACGUAGGGGGCAAGCGUUGUCCGGAUUUAUUGGGCGUAAAGAGCAGUGUAGCGGCCAGGUAGGUCUGCUGUGAAAACUCGAGGCUUAACCUCGAGCUGUCGGCGGAAACCAUCUGGCUAGAGUCCGGAAGAGGAGAAUGGAAUUCCCGGUGUAGCGGUGAAAUGCGCAGAUAUCGUGAGGAAGACCAGUGGCGAAGGCGGGUCUCUGGACAGUUCCUGACACUG
rnacentral:rRNA from 1 species